rnacentral:lncRNA from 1 species
AAGUGAUGUAGCGGAUGAAAGGAAAUGAUUUUUUAAUGAAGGAAUGAUGAAACGAAGUGGUGUUCUGGUGGAAGACAACAAAAGGAGGAGAAUAAACAAAGAGAGAAAUGGUGAAGAUGCUUUUCUGAAAGAGUUUUUUAAGGGAAAAGAUGGAGUGUGGUGGAAGAAAUGAAGAUAGUUUACAUAGAGUUGUCAGCUCUAGUGGAAACAGAUGAAGAAGAUUAAGGGAGUUUAGAUGAAGAAAAUGAAGACUUCGUGGAGAAGAUGGAGGGAUGAAGAAGUUUAAUGGAGGUU